GUACAGCACCGCUGGAGGGGCCACCUGGGCUUCUCGGUACCGCCGCAUCAGCCCUGCGGCCAUGGGCAGAAGCCCAUCCCCCUCUGCAGCCGUGAGGACGGACAUGAGCACCUGGUAGAGGUGGAGAGCAGAGAACAACAAGUGCCCGCAGCUUUGCCAGCCAGCUUGGAGGUCAUCUGGACGUUUGACAAUAGGCAGAAAGAAAAUAUUCCAUCUUCAGAAUGUUGCCGAAGAUAGACGUGACCCUGGCCUUGGUCGCCUCCAGCCUAGACAGGGCGUCCCUGACGAAGACGGAGAGGAGCCAGCCCACGGUGGGCACCGGGUGCAGGGGUGGGACAGUCACCGGCUUGACUGCUGCACCCGCUACGCCCAGCUUCUUCAGCACCCCGAGGUACGUUGCAGUGCAGGACAUCCAGGUCUCUGUGUGGUCCUCCAUCAGCUGUUUGCGAAGGCGGGUCGCACUGUUGCCCAAAGUCCGCUGUCUCAUCUGCGAGAUCACAGACUUGUGGCAGGACAGCCUGAAAGGGAGCACAACAAGUCAACGGUUGAAAUCCUGACCCGACACGCCUCUUUACGUUUAUAUGUAGGCGUCUCACAGGCUCAGCACUUACUUGUAGGAACGACAUUCCAGGCACUCUGUGCCCAUAAAGUACCAGCCGUCCCUGUCCAGAACCCUGCGCACCGUCUUGUACAGUCCUGCGCCGGUCAGCUUCGUGUCACAGGUUUUGCACACAAACCUGCACGCCCACAUCCUGUAGGGCAUCCACAGGAAGAACGGCCUCUGGAAGAAGGCGUGGGACGAUGCAGGGGUCUGGGUGUAGAGGGGCCGGGCUCCGGGAGGGUACCACCAGAGGCGAAGGUCGGUGGUGAGGACACGCUGGCCCCUGGCGUUCCUGGUGAACAGAGCCCGGCCCACCCAGUCCUGCUGCUCCUCCGGCAGAGUCUGCCUCCAGCUGUGAGGCAGCAACUUCACCACAGAAACAGACAAAAGGUCAGCACAAGCCAAACAAUGUGAAGCACAGUGGGGGAUGCAGGCAGCAACUUCACCACAGAAACAGACAAAAGGACAGCCCUCAGCUGCGGCUGCAGCUCUGGUCCUGGGCCGCACGGUGACGCCGCUGUCACCACUGGAAGACAGGUCCAGGUCAUCGACUGGCACAGGAGUGGAGGCUGAAGAUGGAACCUCUGCAAAAAUAACUAAAAGUAAUCAAAGUCAUGCAAAUACUCAGACAUGAGAGAGAUUCCACAACACGUGUCGUUGAAUCUGUCUGAUGUCUGUGUUCUGUGCACAGAACAAACUUUACUAUGCCAGUUAAACUACUGACGGACAACAACAAUCACCAUACCAUAAUGUGAUGACAUACAGACGGACAGCGAAGCGCUUACGUCUCAACCUCUUUCCCCGUGGCCUCGUACAUGGAGGCGUAGGUCAUGGCUCCGUGGGGGCCGAACUCCACCAACUUCUUGUCUUGGCUCCGGACAGACUUGGAACCCUCCGUGGCACGGCGUCCCUCCACGGCUGACAUCACCUCUGGGAACAGCUUGCUGUAGGAGCACCUUGUUGGCCAUAAGUGGUGAGCUGGAUGUGUCACCACUCUCCCGCUCCUUCUGGUGUGAGGCCAGCAGGGACACAGCGUAGCCCACGUCGUGACUCAGGAGCCACUUGAAGGUCUGUCCCCGGUACUGCCCAAACUGGAUCUCAUAUUGGCUGAGAAGCAGCUGGGAGCAGUGGGGAUCUCCUCCUCCUUGCAGAGUGCGAGCUUGCGCCUCCUCCUUCACCUUUUGAGGCACCUUCACCUUCCAUGCCUCAGACCCAUGAUAGGCCUGGGCCACCGUCAGUGCUUCUGGUGAGGGCCUGAGAGUGAGCUCAGUGGACGAAGGCUGCACACGGAACAAAGGGCGAUGGUCCAUGAUCUAAGGAAUCAGAGAAACAUACAAUGAGCUGUACACACGUUAAUAAAAACAUUAUAUGUCUUAUCCUA